AGAGUCAGCGAGAGAGUUGCGGAGUUUUCCCUUCUCGGAACUCUGAGGAAAGUCCGGACUCCCGAAAGACCAAACUUGCUGGAUAACGUCCAGUGCGCGUGAGCGUGAGGAAAGUGCCACAGAAAAAUACCGCCAAGAGGAAUAUUUUUUCUUGGUAAGGGUGCAAAGGUGCGGUAAGAGCGCACCAGCAGCAUCGAGAGGUGCUGGCUCGGUAAACCCCAAGUGGGAGCAAGGUCGAAGGGAGAAGGGUUGGUCUUUUUCCCCUCCCGUUUACCAAGAACCGCUUGAGGUGUCUGGUAACAGGCAUCCCAGAUAGAUAACUCUCCAGAGAACAGAAUCCGGCUUAUGUCUGACUCUCUCU
rnacentral:RNase_P_RNA from 1 species